CUUUGCUAAACUGAGCAGGAGAAAAGGAGCUCCCAUUGCCCUGCUGGGAAGCCUUGAGGAGGAACUCUGCCACCAGUUAUGGAAUUAUGGCUUCCAGAGACGCUGGCCAGGAGAAGAUUGCACAAGAGAGCUUGUAGACAUCACUGGGAUCAAGGACACUUUCUUCAGAAAGAUGAGUACCUGUCACUUGCUUCUUAUGGAAAGAAAAAAUGAUGAUUGCAGACUUGCACCUUGCAGUGGAAGCUUAGUUUGCUGAGGUCUUCAGGGGUCGAAGGUCUUGGAGUUCCUAUUCACACAUAAAACCAAAUUAAAAAAACCCUUUAUCUCCACAUAUGUCCUUGUGCAGCAAGGUUCUGCUGUGCCUAGGAGCUGAGUUUCCUGACCUAACAGGGGCAACCAAGCCUUUAAGAACUUGAUUGUGCAAAAUACUGGUUGUCCUGAGCUUGUAGGGAAGAGAGCAAGUUGUAGAUGCUCAGUAUUUAACAGGGUGAAUUCCAACUACACAUGUGGUUGUCUUUUCCUUUCCCCAGUAGUUUUAAAGGGUUUCUAUCUCAGUAUCUCAUAAAUACAUUAUUAAUAAAUCACAGUCUUUACACUGAAUUCUCCUGAAUUGCUGUGGAGAACACAAUGUUCUGAUUUUUUGCUGCUGCCCAGAGGAGGGCCCAGAGCCAUCCCACCCUGUGGCACUGACACCUCCUCACAGAGGAUGAGAAAACAGAGGUGGGAAUACAGGCUCCUGCAGCUCUGUCCAAAGCAAGGGGGAGGGAGGGAAAGGAGCAUCCAGCAGCACUAACCUGAGAUGUGCAGUGAUUGCUUGCUGGACGUUUCAUUCUUAACUUGACAAUAAAGUGGUCCUGAAGUUACUUAGGCUUGGCUGAAUUGUGAAUGAGCUUGUUGACGUGAAGUUGAGA